rnacentral:rRNA from 1 species
GAUGAACGCUGGCGGCGUGCCUAAUACAUGCAAGUCGAGCGAACAGACGAGGAGCUUGCUCCUCUGACGUUAGCGGCGGACGGGUGAGUAACACGUGGAUAACCUACCUAUAAGACUGGGAUAACUUCGGGAAACCGGAGCUAAUACCGGAUAAUAUAUUGAACUGCAUGGUUCAAUAGUGAAAGACGGUUUUGCUGUCACUUAUAGAUGGAUCCGCGCCGCAUUAGCUAGUUGGUAAGGUAACGGCUUACCAAGGCAACGAUGCGUAGCCGACCUGAGAGGGUGAUCGGCCACACUGGAACUGAGACACGGUCCAGACUCCUACGGGAGGCAGCAGUAGGGAAUCUUCCGCAAUGGGCGAAAGCUUGACGGAGCAACGCCGCGUGAGUGAUGAAGGUCUUCGGAUCGUAAAACUCUGUUAUUAGGGAAGAACAAAUGUGUAAGUAACUAUGCACGUCUUGACGGUACCUAAUCAGAAAGCCACGGCUAACUACGUG